UUUGCGGUACGUAGGGGAAAAGAAAAUAUUCUGCCUCAGUACUUUGCUUCUGUGUUCUUUUAGGGUGAAAAAUGGCAUUAGAAUUGCUGUAAGUUACUGUCCCACACACAAGAUGAAUUCAUUACGGUUAACAGAAGAUCUGGAACCUGUGAAUGGCCUGAACUUUGAAGAGUGAAAAAUCAAGAUCCGCAUUUUCUUUUAUAAAGACACAUCAUUGUGGUCA